GCCUGUGUGGUACAGUGGUUAGAGUGCUGGAUUAUGAUCUGAGGGGCCGGGGUUCAAUCCCCACACGGACA